rnacentral:rRNA from 1 species
AAACUAACAAGGAUUCCCCUAGUAACUGCGAGUGAAGCGGGAAAAGCUCAAAUUUAAAAUCUGGUAGUCUUUGGCUGCCCGAGUUGUAAUCUAGAGAAGCAUUAUCCGCGCUGGACCGUGUAUAAGUCUCCUGGAAUGGAGCGUCAUAGAGGGUGAGAAUCCCGUCUUUAACAUGGACUACCAGGGCUUUGUGAUGUGCUCUCAAAGAGUCGAGUUGUUUGGGAAUGCAGCUCUAAAUGGGUGGUAAAUUCCAUCUAAAGCUAAAUAUUGGCGAGAGACCGAUAGCGAACAAGUACCGUGAGGGAAAGAUGAAAAGAACUUUGGAAAGAGAGUUAAACAGUACGUGAAAUUGUUGAAAGGGAAACGCUUGAAGUCAGUCGCGUUGAUCAGGAAUCAACCUUGCUUUUUUGCUUGGUGUAUUUCCUGGUUAACGGGUCAGCAUCAAUUUUGACCAGUGGAAAAAGGUCAGGGGAAUGUGGCAUCUUYGGAUGUGUUAUAGCCUCUGGUCAUAUACAUUGGUUGGGAUUGAGGAACUCAGCACGCCGCAAGGCCGGGUUUUUAACCACGUUCGUGCUUAGGAUGCUGGCAUAAUGGCUUUAAUCGAC